GAUUAGGAUUUAAUUGACCUAGGUAUUUAAACCUAUCCUUACCCGUUUCUCACGCACCCUUUCUCAAAUUCGUCGACUCCACGCUUCGCACGACGAUCUGCGACGGAACUCUCCACCGAGGAUCGGGAGUCCGGCCAAGCAGCUCCUCACGUCGGCGAGCUUGCGGGGAACGACAAGUGGGCGAGGAGACUAUCGACCAACACAUCUGCGGCGCGGCUACAGCUAGGGUGAGGGCUUCAACAGAGGGACGCGGAAGUGAAGGCAAGUUCAAUCCCUAUGAUAUUUGAGAGAUCUAUGAGGUGAGGAUGACUCUCAAGAUAUGAUGGAAGACCUUUAGACGGAGUAGACGAGGAGGCGAGAUGAACGCAUGGUACUGCCCGAAUGUCUAAGAGUGCAGAGCAUACUGGUUUCAUUGUGAGAGAUUUUUUUUUAUUAUAUGUAAAGAGGGAUGUUUGGGGAUUAUUGUCCUUAUUCAUUAAACUCCUAAUCGAUGCAGUCAUUUCCUUUGGUUAA